rnacentral:rRNA from 1 species
AGCGAACGCUGGCGGCAGGCCUAACACAUGCAAGUCGAACGAACCCUUCGGGGUUAGUGGCGGACGGGUGAGUAACACGUGGGAACGUGCCUUUAGGUUCGGAAUAACUCAGGGAAACUUGUGCUAAUACCGAAUGUGCCCUUCGGAGGAAAGAUUUAUCGCCUUUAGAGCGGCCCGCGUCUGAUUAGCUAGUUGGUGAGGUAAAGGCUCACCAAGGCUACGAUCAGUAGCUGGUCUGAGAGGAUGACCAGCCACAUUGGGACUGAGACACGGCCCAAACUCCUACGGGAGGCAGCAGUGGGGAAUCUUGCGCAAUGGGCGAAAGCCUGACGCAGCCAUGCCGCGUGGAUGAUGAAGGUCUUAGGAUUGUAAAAUCCUUUCACCGGUGAAGAUAAUGACUGUAGCCGGAGAAGAAGCCCCGGCUAACUUCGUACCAGCCGCCGCGGUAAUAC